CAGUCGCCACGGGAAUACGGAGGGUGCAAGCGUUGUCCGGAUUUAUUGGGUUUAAAGGGUGCGUAGGCGGCUAUUUAAGUCAGCGGUGAAAGACUCCGGCUCAACCGGAGCAGUGCCAUUGAUACUGGAUAGCUUGAGUGUUGGAGGGGUACAUGGAAUUGAUGGUGUAGCGGUGAAAUGCAUAGAUACCAUCAGGAACACCGAUAGCGAAGGCAUUGUACUGGCCAACAACUGACGCUGAGGCACGAAAGCAUGGGGAGCGAACAGGAUUAGAUACCCCGGUAGUCCCUGUCUCUUAUAC
rnacentral:rRNA from 1 species